UUAUAUAAGACCAAAAUAAACCAAACCGGUAGCUAAUGUGGUAAUACUACUCAUUGUUGGGUCUUGGUCAAUGGCCACUUUGUAUGAUUUGGAUAAAGUUUGCAUCCCUCCGAGGAAUCAUCAUUUUCCUAGGAAAACGAACCAACUUAAAAGAAGGAAAAAACAUUUGCAUCCACGUCUGAAAGACUCUCUAAUGGCAGCCACGAGACGGUUGCUUCAACGUGUGUCCACCGCAUUUUCAACCGUGGGAGCACUGCGGAGCUAUGGAGGUUUGCUGCAAUCAAACACAAAAUCUGCAUCUUCUUUUCAGUGAUUGAUGGAGUUGGAAUCCGAAUUCGCGCCCACAAGUAAAGUCUCUCUCUCUCUCUUUCUUUUCUUUUUCUUUACUCAAAGUUUUUUCCUCCGAUUUUCUCCUCUUUUUUUUGGGUUUUUGGAUUUUGCUCGUUGCAUAUAAAUUAUUCUUCUUUUAUUUCGGUUUCCAUCAGGGUACAAAACAUGAUUCGAAAUGAAAAUUUUCUUCUCUUUUUAUAUUAGAGCAUCUCUAACCCCACUCCAUAUGUUAUUCCAUUUAUUUUUUGUUCAUUACUACAUUUCUCAUUCCAUUUUCUCAGUUUUGGAGUAAAAUAUAGAGUGGAGUUAGAGAUGCCCUUAUAUACUUUACUUGUGAUUUUUUUUUUCAAAUGAUGCUCCUGACCGGUUUGAAGAUAGUUCUUGCUAAUUUACCUUUAAUCCAUAAACCUUGUCUUGUGUGCGUCUCCAAAAUUCUAGUUACCAUCCAGUUCCGGUUGUGUUUUCUCGCGCAACUGGAACUAUAUGGGACUCUGAAGGUAAAAGAUACAUCAACUUUCUCGCUGCUUACUCCGCUGUUAAUCAGGGACAGGGACAUUGCCACCCUAAGAUCAUCAAGGCAUUGCAGGAACAAGUGGAGAAGCUCACCUUAAGUUCACGAGCCUUCUACAACGAUCAAUUCCCGGUCUUUGCAGAGCGUCUCAGAAACAUGUUGGGUUAUGAGAUGGUGCUUCCUAUGAAAAUGGGGUCAUGAAAAGUAGCAAGAAACCACACCAGCACUGAAGGUGUCGAAACCGCUUUGAAAGUAGCAAGAAAAUGGGGUCAUGAAAGAAAAACAUCCCCAAAGAUGAGUUACACUUUUUUUUUUCUUUUUAAAAAAUGUUUUACUUGCACUAAAACAUCCAAAAAGCGGUUGAAGAGGCAAGCCUGUGGACGGAGCUGAAUAUACUGCAACCAACUCCUACGACCGUAAAUGGUUUGAAUGAGGAAACGAAGAAAUGGGAUCCACCUCUUCCAGGCUAUGUCCAAUUCAACAUCCAUGCAAACUGGAGAAACGCAAAGCUCCAUAGUGGAGCGUCUUUCAUUGUUCGUGAUCAGAGUGGCAAUGUCCUCCAUCAUGCUAGAGAUGCUAACACUUUCUCUCCGAACAGAGCAACUGCUGAGCUUCGAUGUCUGGUAUGGACCUUACAGAGUUUAAAGGAUUUGGGUUAUCAGGAUGUUGUGAUUGGUUCAGAUUUUCGAGAGCUCGUUGAAGAAGAAGCCCCUAGACUGGCCUUUGUUCAGAAUGCUCCUUCAGAAGAUUGACACUUUCUGUGGUCUGUUCCGUUCGGUAGCUUUUGAGUUAGAGUCGGUUUCUUCAAAUCAGAUAGCAAGAGAGAUUGCAAAGAGUGUUCUUCGAGAUGGCCGUUUUCAAUCUUACUUGGCCUUAGGAGGACCUGUGUGGCUUCACCAAAGGAUUUUAAGGGAUGCAUUGUUGAUUAGCUCAUAGAUCUUCUUUAAGGUUGAGCUUGUUGCUUUGUUUCUUUUUCUACUUGGUUUUUGUGGCUUUGAUCCCCCCUUGACUAUACCUUGCUAAUGAAGAAGUUAAAAAAAACAUACUCCAUCUAUUUGUCUCACAAAUCAGUGUCAUUUUGAGUGUUGCACAAAAUAGUGUGUGAUAAAUAAAAUUAUUUAUAAAAUCAAUGCAUUUUGCUAUUAAUAUUAAACUUAAAAUAGAUAUAAAUUGUAUACAAACAACAUUCUUUGUAUAACAAGAAAAAAAAGUCAAAAUGACAUAAACCAAGAGAGUGUUAAAACAAAUUUGGGAAUUCUGUUUUUUUUUUCUUACAGGCUAUAAUCGUCUCUUGUUGUGGUUGCUUUCAUGGUCGUACAUAAGCAGUUAUUUCCAUGAGUUGUGACAAUGAUGCUACUCGUGGAUUCGGUCCAUUGUUGCCUGGGAACCUUAAAGUUGAUUUUGGUGACGCUGAUUCACUUGAGAACAUCUUUAAAGGUAUUUAAUAAAUGGGUACUACUUAUAUGAGAGUUAAUAAUUGAGCUUGGGCUAAUGAGAGUGGAUCAUGUUAUUAUUGGAUUCCUUCCUUUUCGAGCCUAAUCAAGGCGAAGCUGGAGUUGUGAUUCCUCCUGAGGGUUAUUUGAAAGCUGUUAGAGAACUCUGUACAAAACACACAAUGUUUUGAUGAUAGCUGAAGCGGUCUAGCGAGAUCCGGGAAGAUGUUAGCUUGUGAUUGGGAAGAAGUUCGUCCUGACAUGGUGUCAGAUACUUGGGAAAGCAUUAGGUGGAGGAGUGAUUCCAGUAAGUGCAGUGCUUGCUGAUAAAGAUGUGAUGCUUCAUAUCAAACCUGGCCAACACGGAAGCACAUUUGGUGGGAACCCUUUAGCUAGUGAUGUGGCUAUGGCUUCUUUAGAUGUUAUCGAGAAAGAGAAACUCGUCGAAAGCAAGUCAUGGAGAAGAGUUGAGGAUUCAACUCAAUGAAAUUAAGAAACAGUAUCUUAAGUACAUUAAAGAAGUACGUGGAAGAGGAUUGUUCAAUGCAUUUGAGUUCAACAGCGAAAGCUUAUCUCCAGUUUCAGCUAAUGGGACAUUAAUCUGUUAUGGACCAAAAGCCUAAAAAUAAUCUAUUACCUCCUAUUUUAAUCUAUAUGGACCAUUUCAGGUGAAUUUAUACUUAUACCCUUAAUAAUUUUUUGUC